AUUGAACGCUGGCGGCAGGCCUAACACAUGCAAGUCGAACGAGUGGCGGACGGGUGAGUAAUGUCUGGGAAACUGCCUGAUGGAGGGGGAUAACUACUGUAAACGGUAGCUAAUACCGCAUACCAUCAGAUGUGCCCAGAUGGGAUUAGCUAGUCGGUGGGGUAACGGCUCUCCAAGGCGACGAUCCCUAGCUGGUCUGAGAGGAUGACCAGCCACACUGGAACUGAGACAGGGUCCAGACUCCUACGGGAGGCAGCAGUGGGGAAUAUUGAACAAUGGGCGCAAGCCUGAUGCAGCCAUGCCGCGUGUAUGAAGAAGGCCUUCGGGUUGUAAAGUACUUUCAUCAGGGAGGCGUUACCCGCAGAAGAAGCACCGGCUAACUACGUGCCAGCAGCCGCGGUAAUUC
rnacentral:rRNA from 1 species